UAUUUAAAUAGUUAUUAAUUUAAUAGGUUGAUUAUUUAUAUGUUAAAAUAAGAAUAUUAUAGUUUUAUUAUGGGGGUCGAAUAAAUUUUAAUUAUGAUAGUUUAUUAGUACCGAGAGGGAAAGUUUUAGUAAUUUUAAAAAGAAAAAUUUAAUUUUUGUACCUUGUGUAUCAGGGAUUAUUAAAUUUAAUUUAUUUAUUUAAUUUUCUCGAAUUUAGAAGGGCUAGCUUUGUAUAUAUAUUAUUAUGAAAUAAAUAUUUAAAAUAUGGGGCUAGAAAUGAAAUGUUAUUCGUUUCUAAAUAUAUCUAGUUUCUUAAGAAACAAAUUUAAUUUGAUCAAUUAUUAUUAAUUUUCUUUAUUUUUAGUUAAUUAUUUUGAUUGAUUUAUGUCUAGGGGGAUGAGCUUUUGGAUUGAACAUUAAAAAUUUAGAUAGUAUAUUUAAAGUUUAUAGGAUUGGAAGUUUUCAUUUUUAAAAUAGUUUUAUAACUUAUUUUGUAUUAAGUAUUAUUUAUAUUUUUUUUAAGUUUUUUAUUAAGAUAUAUUUUAUAAUUUUUAUUUGAUUAGGAAAAAUGAUUGUAUUAGUAUAAUUUUUUGUAUUAGUAACUUAAUUUUGUUAGGUUAAUGAAAGGAAUUCGGCAAAAGAUUUUUCACCUGUUUAUUAAAAACAUGGCCUUUUGAUUAUAAUUUAAGGUCUAGCCUGCCCACUGAGUAGUUUAAUGGCUGCGGUAACCUGACCGUGCGAAGGUAGCAUAAUCAUUAGUUUUUUAAUUGAAAGCUGGAAUGAAUGGCUGAAUGAGAAAAUAACUGUCUCUCAUUAAUUUUAUUUAGAAUUUUAUUUUUCAGUAAGAAAGCUUAAAUUUUGUUAAAAGACGAGAAGACCCUAUAGAGUUUUAUAAAUUUUAGUAUUUGAACUUUUAGUAUUAUUACCUUAAUUAUUAAAAUUUAUUUGGUUGGGGAGAUUGAAAAAUUAAUUUAACUUUUUUUUUAUUUAAUCACUAAUUUGUGAAUUCUUGAUCCAUUAAUUAUGAUUAUAAGAUAAAAUUACCUUAGGGAUAACAGCGUAAUCUUUUUUUAGAGUUCUAAUCGAAAGAAAGGUUUGCGACCUCGAUGUUGGAUUAAAAUUAAUUUUGGGUGCAGAAGCUCAAAAUUUUAGGUCUGUUCGACCUUUAAAAUUUUACAUGAUCUGAGUUUAAACCGGUGUAAGCCAGGUUGGUUUCUAUCUUUAAUUUCUUUGUAAUAUUUUAGUACGAAAGGACCGAUUAUUAAAUAAUUUAUUUUGAUUUUGAAUAUUAUU
rnacentral:rRNA from 1 species